ACAAAUGCAUUUCGUCGGGCAUCCCUGUGUUGCAUAAUGAAAAUACAUGAUUCCUUGAAAAAUUCACUUUGAAAAUGUUACAAGACAGAAACCAUCAUGAUACAUUCUGUGUGAGUGUUCAUCCCCUCUGUUUAUUUUGUUAAUCUGCUGUAAUGAUUGACUGUUCCUAACACUGUAAAUCCUCUUGAGAUGCAUCACUCAUCUCAUCUUAUGUUGGUGAGCAAAAACACCAGCAGAGAAAACAAGACUAACACAAGUCAGGUGUGCAGAGGGAAAAUAAGUCUGCACACAAGAGGAACUCAAGUUAUACAAACUAACAAACUGUCUGGACUAACCGAUGCCGAGCAGAGAAAACAGAGCACCCAAAACAAAACCUCGAUCAACAAAAACAAAGGAGAACUGGAACUAAAGAGAGUCCAAAAACCAUGACAAUAAAAAGUUGUCCAGAAAUUAACUUCAAUGAAUACUGAAAAAAAAACAUCAUCUUAAAAUCUUCGCAGUGCUCUUGAGCAAAGAACUUCAUCCUGCAGUUGCAGCUCAGUGUCCACUAGGAGACUGAGGCUGUUCUGAGAAACUCCCUCUCACUUCUAUAGGUCAGACGUUGUCACUGUAGCAGAACAGUGAGGUCCACCUAAAGACAGAGUUGUGAUGGUAAACAUGAAGCUUCUCCUGGUUGUCGUUCUCAUCCUCACCAAUUCCUCUGCUGGGGUAAAAAUUGAGCAGCCUCCAUCUUUAUUCAGCCUUGAAGGAGACCCGACUGUAACUUUACCGUGUGAACAAGAUGAAGAAGACAACUUCUACAUGUACUGGUACAGACAAAGCAGCAGUGGGGGAUUACAGCUGGUCACAUAUUCUCUCAGUAACAACGCGUGGAGCAUCGAAGCUCCGUUCAACAAAUCCAAGUUCUCCAUGUCCCGGCCUGCGGUGCUCAGCUCCUCUCUGCAGAUCCACCGUGUGGAGGCCGGAGACUCAGCUGUGUUUUACUGCGCCACCAGAAGAACACAAUGAUUCAGAAAGCCUCAGCAGCUAAACAACAACCUCAAGAGGAAACCAGGAAGAGGUGACAGAGAGGAGGGAUGAUGAGGAGGGUGA